CCCCCCCCCAAAAUAUAUAUGUAUUUGACAUUGUUUGGGAAAAUCCAGUAUUCCUAGAGGAUUUUUUUCUCCCUAUCCCUAUUUUUUUCUCAUUGCUUUCUUCCUGAUAAAAAUUACCCCUUUGUUUAAAAAAAAAAAAAAAAAAAAAGCAAUUUAGGGCCAGAUAACAGACUGCAACAAAAUUAUUAGAACAGCCUUGGCUAAAACUCAUGUCUGCAGAAAAAGGUGCAUAGGGCACUAACAGAUUAAUCCUUUCAACCUGACUGUGUAGUGUCAACUUGUAACUUGCUAUGCAUAAACUUGGAAGAAAACAGAUUAAAAGGGAUACAGUAUUCUCUGAUAAGCCAAUUACGUUCAUUAAGGAGAGAAAGCUUUACCCUAAGAAUGCUCUAAUAUUUAUUCCUCUUAUUCUCUCAUUUCUUUUUGGAUUGUAAAAUAAGAAUCUGGAUUAUUCACACGCAAAUGUUGAAUGCCAUCUCUGGGAGACCAAGUUCACCCAAAAUCUCUUUGAAAGGUGCCUGAGUACAAGAAGCCAAUCAGAAUUUUGAAGACUUUUUGGACCCUGAAUCUCCAGAGAAGCACAUAAUCCAGCACCUUUGCAAAGAGAUUGAGGGAGAGGAAAUAUCCCAACUUUGGAUUCAGGUUCCCCAUCAGCAAAUUCUUCAAUCAAGCAGCUCAAGCUAUCUGUAUGUAUAGAUUGAGUAUAAUCAUCCCAGCGGUCAUUAAAGAAUUAUUUUCUAUCAGCAGAGCUUGCUAGCUGUUAGUCACCUGAAACAUUGCAAUUAACCCACUGACUACUAUUUUGGUCAAAGCUUGAUUAACAGUGCUCUCAUAGGACAACUCUUUUCUGGGCAUACAUGUAUAAUAUAUAUAAUUUAUGUAUUAUCAAUUCUGUCAGGCUUGCGUUUUCCCAUUAUUGUUAAGAGCUUCCCAACAAGGUAGAGCAAAAAUGGAUGGCUAUAAAAUAUACAUUAUAAUUUUUUGUGAUGCAGGUAAUUCAGAUAGGCUACUAAUUGUUUAUAUUUAAAAUAUUUGCAAUAAAACCUAUUCAAAAUAAA